CCUACGCGAGGCAGCAGUGGGGAAUAUUGGGCAAUGGAGGCAACUCUGACCCAGCAACGCCGCGUGAGCGAUGAAGGUCUUCGGAUUGUAAAGCUCUUUAAGCGGGGACGAAGAAAGUGACUGUACCCGCAGAAUAAGCCUCGGCUAACUACGUGCCAGCAGCCGCGGUAAUACGUAGGAGGCAAGCGUUAUCCGGAAUGACUGGGCGUAAAGGGUGCGUAGGUGGUUUGGCAAGUUGGUAGCGUAAUCCCGGGGCUCAACCUCGGAACUGCAUUUGAAACUGUCGGUCUUGAGUAUCGGAGAGGCAGGCGGAAUUCCUAGUGUAGCGGUGAAAUGCGUAGAUAUUAGGAGGAACACCAGUGGCGAAGGCGGCCUGCUGGACGACAACUGACGGUGAGGCGCGAAAGCGUGGGGAGCAAACAGGAUUAGAUACCCCGGUAGUC
rnacentral:rRNA from 1 species